UUAGUAGCCAAUCCUCUUACGUAAUUAUUGGGACAUAAAGCGUCGCGCAGGCGUGUUUCCUAAGUCUGAAGUGAAAGCCCCCGGCUCAACCGGGGGAGGGUCAUUGGAAACUGGGAAACUUGAGUGCAGAAGAGGAGAGUGGAAUUCCACGUGUAGCGGUGAAAUGCGUAGAGAUGUGGAGGACACCAGGUGGCGAAGGCGACUCAUCUGGUCUGUAACUGACGCUGAAGGCGCGAAAGCGUGGGGAGCGAAACAGGAUUAGAUACCCUGGUAGUCCACGCCGUAAACGAUGAGUGCUAAGUGUUAGAGGGUUUCCGCCCUUUAGUGCUGCAGCUAACGCAUUAAGCACUCCGCCUGGGGAGUACGGUCGCAAGACUGAAACUCAAAGGAAUUGACGGGGGCCCGCACAAGCGGUGGAGCAUGUGGUUUAAUUCGAAGCAACGCGAAGAACCUUACCAGGUCUUGACAUCCUUUGCCACUUCUAGAGAUAGAAGGUUCCCCUUCGGGGGACAAAGUGACAGGUGGUGCAUGGUUGUCGUCAGCUCGUGUCGUGAGAUGUUGGGUUAAGUCCCGCAACGAGCGCAACCCUUGAUCUUAGUUGCCAGCAUUCAGUUGGGCACUCUAAGGUGACUGCCGGUGACAAACCGGAGGAAGGUGGGGAUGACGUCAAAUCAUCAUGCCCCUUAUGACCUGGGCUACACACGUGCUACAAUGGAUGGUACAAAGGGCUGCGAGACCGCGAGGUUUAGCCAAUCCCAUAAAACCAUUCUCAGUUCGGAUUGCAGGCUGCAACUCGCCUGCAUGAAGCUGGAAUCGCUAGUAAUCGCGGAUCAGCAUGCCGCGGUGAAUACGUUCCCGGGCCUUGUACACACCGCCCGUCACACCACGAGAGUUUGCAACACCCGAAGUCGGUGGGGUAACCGCAAGGAGCCAGCCGCCUAAGUGGGAAAAAGUU
rnacentral:rRNA from 2 species